rnacentral:rRNA from 1 species
GACGAACGCUGGCGGCGUGCUUAACACAUGCAAGUCGAACGGAAAGGCCCUGCUUUUGUGGGGUGCUCGAGUGGCGAACGGGUGAGUAACACGUGAGUAACCUGCCCUUGACUUUGGGAUAACUUCAGGAAACUGGGGCUAAUACCGGAUAGGAGCUCCUGCUGCAUGGUGGGGGUUGGAAAGUUUCGGCGGUUGGGGAUGGACUCGCGGCUUAUCAGCUUGUUGGUGGGGUAGUGGCUUACCAAGGCUUUGACGGGUAGCCGGCCUGAGAGGGUGACCGGCCACAUUGGGACUGAGAUGCGGCCCAGACUCCUACGGGAGGCAGCAGUGGGGAAUAUUGCACAAUGGGCGGAAGCCUGAUGCAGCAACGCCGCGUGCGGGAUGACGGCCUUCGGGUUGUAAACCGCUUUCGCCGGUGACGAAGCGUGAGUGACGGUAAUGGGUAAAGAAGCACCGGCUAACUACGUG